rnacentral:tRNA from 1 species
AUGAUGGUGUGGUAGUGGAUGUCGCCGUUGUUGUAGGCAACGGUUGCUUCUUCCGGAGUGGCAAAGAUCAUGCCUUCGCCUUCACG